rnacentral:rRNA from 1 species
AGUGAACGCUGGCGGUAGGCCUAACACAUGCAAGUCGAACGGCAGCACAGUAAGAGCUUGCUCUUACGGGUGGCGAGUGGCGGACGGGUGAGGAAUACAUCGGAAUCUACUUUUUCGUGGGGGAUAACGUAGGGAAACUUACGCUAAUACCGCAUACGACCUACGGGUGAAAGCAGGGGAUCUUCUGACCUUGCGCGAUUGAAUGAGCCGAUGUCGGAUUAGCUAGUUGGCGGGGUAAAGGCCCACCAAGGCGACGAUCCGUAGCUGGUCUGAGAGGAUGAUCAGCCACACUGGAACUGAGCCAAGGACCAGACUCCUAAGGGAGGGAGCAGUGGGGAAUAUUGGACAAUGGGCGCAAGCCUGAUCCAGCCAUACCGAGUGGGUGAAGAAGGCCUUCGGGUUGUAAAGCCCUUUUGUUGGGAAAGAAAAGCAGCAGGUUAAUACCCCGCUGUUCUGACGGUACCCAAAGAAUAAGCACCGGCUAACUUCGUG